rnacentral:rRNA from 1 species
ACGGGUGAGUAACACGUGGGCAACCUGCCCUUGAGACUGGGAUAACUUCGGGAAACCGGAGCUAAUACCGGAUAAUAUAAGGAACCUCCUGGUUCCUUAUUGAAAGAUGGUUUCGGCUAUCACUUAGGGAUGGGCCCGCGGCGCAUUAGCUAGUUGGUGAGGUAACGGCUCACCAAGGCGACGAUGCGUAGCCGACCUGAGAGGGUGAUCGGCCACACUGGGACUGAGACACGGCCCAGACUCCUACGGGGGGCAGCAGUAGGGAAUCUUCCACAAUGGACGAAAGUCUGAUGGAGCAACGCCGCGUGAGUGAUGAAGGCCUUCGGGUCGUAAAGCUCUGUUGUUAGGGAAGAACAAGUGCGAGAGUAACUGCUCGCACCUUGACGGUACCUAACCAGAAAGCCACGGCUAACUACGUGCCAGCAGCCGCGGUAAUACGUAGGUGGCAAGCGUUAUCCGGAAUUAUUGGGCGUAAAGCGCGCGCAGGUGGUUUCUUAAGUCUGAUGUGAAAGCCCACGGCUCAACCGUGGAGGGUCAUCGGAAACUGGGGAACUUGAGUGCAGAAGAGGAAA